UGGAAUAGCGUUUGCGGUGGGCACUUGGU
rnacentral:piRNA from 1 species